GAUGAACGCUGGCGGCGUGCUUAACACAUGCAAGUCGAACGAGAAGUGGAGACGGACACCUUCGGGCGGAAGACUUUAUUUCGAGUGGCGGACGGGUGAGUAACGCGUGGGUAACCUGCCUCAUACAGGGGGAUAACAGUUGGAAACGACUGUUAAUACCGCAUAAGACCACAGCACCGCAUGGUGCGGGGGUAAAAACUCCGGUGGUAUGAGAUGGACCCGCGUUCGAUUAGCCAGUUGGCGGGGUAACGGCCCACCAAAGCGACGAUCGAUAGCCGAUCUGAGAGGAUGACCGGCCACAUUGGGACUGAGACACGGCCCAAACUCCUACGGGAGGCAGCAGUGGGGAAUAUUGCACAAUGGGGGAAACCCUGAUGCAGCGACGCCGCGUGAGUGAAGAAGUAGUUCGGGAUGUAAAGCUCUAUAAGCAGGGAAGAAAAUGACGGUACCUGAGUAAGAAGCCCCGGCUAACUACGUG
rnacentral:rRNA from 1 species